GCUGGGGUAGCUCAGGGGUAGAGCAUCUCCAUGGUAAGGAGAGGGCCGAGGGUUCAAGUCCCUCCCCCAGCU
rnacentral:tRNA from 1 species